rnacentral:rRNA from 1 species
GACGAACCGUGCAAACGUUGUUCGGAUUCACUGGGCUUAAAGGGUGCGUAGGUGGGUAGGUAAGUCAGUGGUGAAAUCUUCGAGCUUAACUCGGAAACUGCCAUUGAUACUAUUUAUCUUGAAUACUCUGGAGGUAAGCGGAAUAUGUCAUGUAGCGGUGAAAUGCUUAGAUAUGACAUAGAACACCAAUUGCGAAGGCAGCUUACUACAUAGUUAUUGACACUGAGGCACGAAAGCGUGGGGAUCAAACAGG